rnacentral:rRNA from 1 species
AAUGGCUUUAGUGGCGGACUGGUGAGUAACACGUGAGCAACCUGCCUAUCAGAGGGGAAUAACAGUGAGAAAUCAUUGCUAAUACCGCAUAUGCCAUAAAUAUCACAUGAUGAAAGGUGGGAAAGGAGUAAUCCGCUGAUAGAUGGGCUCGUGUCUGAUUAGAUAGUUGGUGGGGUAACGGCCUACCAAGUCGACGAUCAGUAGCCGGACUGAGAGGUUGAACGGCCACAUUGGGACUGAGAUACGGCCCAGACUCC